UCACUUGAGCAGUAUAUACACUACAAUUAGAAAAAUAUAAAGAAGAUUGGAAGGGUCCCUGAACAAUGAUGACUUGCAACUUUGUGCAUCAUUACAUACACAC
rnacentral:snRNA from 1 species